rnacentral:lncRNA from 1 species
CGGAGGACGAGUCCGCAGGGUUGGGCAGCCUACGGAAGAGCUAGUUUCACCUCGUCAUUUAGUAUUCUUAGAGAAUGGAAACGACGAGGAGAGAAUGGAUGUGUUUCUGUAUCAUUAUUUUUUGUCAACAGAUGAUGCCACAAUAAAUAAUAAUAUAGAAACGCAUAUAAAGAUGGCGAUAGAAAUACUUUCAAAUGUAUUUCAUUAAUAUAUGCAUAUUCAUAUAGUGUGUAUAUAUUUUUUAUUCCAUAUUUUAUGCCCCUUUCCCAUCAGGAAGAUUACUAAGGGCGGGCCAGUUCCAAUCACGGGCUGCACCCACACCCGUGGAGGAGACCGGAUGGACGGGAAUCGCCGGGCCGGGCCUAGCUCCCCAAAAAAUUUUUUCAGGAAUUACCAGACCCGGACGCGAACCCGGGUCCUCCUGCAUGGCAUACCAACAGUGUUACCACUCGGCCGGAUG